rnacentral:rRNA from 1 species
UACCAGCACCCCGAGUGGUCGGGACGUUUAUUGGGCCUAAAGCAUCCGUAGCCGGUUCUACAAGUCUUCCGUUAAAUCCAACUGCUUAACAGGUGGGCUGCGGAAGAUACUAUAGAGCUAGGAGGCGGGAGAGGCAAGCGGUACUCGAUGGGUAGGGGUAAAAUCCGUUGAUCCAUUGAAGACCACCAGUGGCGAAGGCGGCUUGCCAGAACGCGCUCGACGGUGAGGAUGAAAGCUGGGGGAGCAAGCCGG